rnacentral:tRNA from 1 species
AUUUUCUUAGUACAAGAAGUAUAUCUAACUUCCAAUUAGAAGAUUUUAUUAAAAAGAAAAUA